rnacentral:rRNA from 1 species
CGGAGGCAGCAGUGGGGAAUCUUGCGCAAUGGGGGAAACCCUGACGCAGCGACGCCGCGUGAAGGAUGAAGGCCUUCGGGUUGUAAACUUCUUUUAAGAAGGAAGAAGAAAGUGACGGUACUUCUUGAAUAAGCCCCGGCUAACUACGUGCCAGCAGCCGCGGUAAUACGUAGGGGGCGAGCGUUGUCCGAAGUUACUGGGCGUAAAGCGCGCGUAGGCGGGCUUGUAAGUUAGAUGUGAAAUCUCCACGGCUCAACCGGGAAACCGCAUCUAAAACUGCAAGUCUUGAGGUAUGGAGAGGGAAGUGGAAUUCCUGGUGUAGCGGUGAAAUGCGUAGAUAUCAGGAGGAACACCCGUGGCGAAGGCGGCUUCCUGGCCAUAUCCUGACGCUGAGGUGCGAAAGCCAGGGGAGCGAACGGGAUUAGAUACCCCAGUAGUCC